UACGUAGGGUGCAAGCGUUGUCCGGAAUUAUUGGGCGUAAAGAGCUCGUAGGCGGUUUGUUGCGUCGGCUGUGAAAUCCCGAGCUCAACCUCGGGUCUGCAGUCGAUACGAGCAAACUAGAGUGUUGCAGGGGAGACUGGAAUUCCUGGUGUAGCGGUGAAAUGCGCAGAUAUCAGGAGGAACACCGGUGGCGAAGGCGGGUCUCUGGGCCGAUACUGACACUGAGGAGCGAAAAGCCGUGGGGGAACGCGAAACAGGA
rnacentral:rRNA from 1 species